GCGUAUAUUAAGUUGUUGCAGUUAAAAAGCUCGUAGUUGAAUUUCGGGGUCAGCAGGUUGGUCGUGCCACUGGUAUGAACUGGUUUCGCUGAUUCCUCCUUUCUGAAGAACUGUAAUGUCAUUAAUUUGGUGUUGCAGGGAAACAGGACUGUUACUUUGAAAAAAUUAGAGUGUUUAAAGCAGGCUAACGCUUGAAUACAUUAGCAUGGAAUAAUGAAAUAGGACGUUCAAACCUAUUUUGUUGGUUUCUAGGAUUGACGUAAUGAUUAAUAGGGAUAGUUGGGGGCAUUAGUAUUCAAUUGUCAGAGGUGAAAUUCUUGGAUUUAUUGAAGACUAACUACUGCGAAAGCAUUUGCCAAGGAUGUUUUCAUUAAUCAAGAACGAAAGUUAGGGGAUCGAAGACGAUCAGAUACCGUCGUAGUCUUAACCAUAAA
rnacentral:rRNA from 1 species